CCUACGGGAGGCUGCAGUGAGGAAUAUUGGUCAAUGGACACAAGUCUGAACCAGCCAUGCCGCGUGCAGGAUGACGGCUCUAUGAGUUGUAAACUGCUUUUGUACGAGGGUAAUAUCAGAUACGUGUAUCUGCUUGAAAGUAUCGUACGAAUAAGGAUCGGCUAACUCCGUGCCAGCAGCCGCGGUAAUACGGAGGAUCCAAGCGUUAUCCGGAUUUAUUGGGUUUAAAGGGUGCGUAGGCGGUUUUAUAAGUUAGAGGUGAAAUGUCCGAGCUUAACUCGGGAACUGCCUCUAAUACUGUUGAUCUAGAGAGUAGAUGCGGUAGGCGGAAUGUAUGGUGUAGCGGUGAAAUGCUUAGAGAUCAUACAGAACACCGAUUGCGAAGGCAGCUUACCAAUCUAUAUCUGACGUUGAGGCACGAAAGCGUGGGGAGCAAACAGGAUUAGAUACCCCUGUAGUC
rnacentral:rRNA from 1 species